rnacentral:rRNA from 1 species
UAACCCGUGGGGGGUAGCCGUAGCGAAAGCGAGUCUGAAUAGGGCGCGUGUAGUGGCAUGUUCUAGGCCCGAAGCGGAGUGAUCUACCCAUGGCCAGGGUGAAGCGUCGGUAAGACGUCGUGGAGGCCCGAACCCACUUAGGUUGAAAACUGAGGGGAUGAGUUGUGGGUAGGGGUGAAAGGCCAAUCAAACUCCGUGAUAGCUGGUUCUCCCCGAAAUGCAUUUAGGUGCAGCGUCGCGUGUUUCUUGCCGGAGGUAGNGGUUACUGACGUCAGCCAAACUCCGAAUGCCGGUAAGUGAGAGCGCGGCAGUGAGACUGCGGGCGAUAAGGUUCGCUGGUCGAGAGGGAAACAGCCCAGAUCGCCGGCUAAGGCCCCUAAGCGUGUGCUAAGUGGGAAAGGAUGUGGGACCGCUCAGACAGCCAGGAGGUUGGCUUAGAAGCAGCCACCCUUGAAAGAGUGCGUAAUAGCUCACUGGUCUAGUGGUCCUGCGCCGACAAUGUAGCGGGGCUCAAGCACACCGCCGAAGCCGCGGCGCUCCAGCAGUAACAUCCACACACA